GAAUAAUUAAGAUAACCAUUAAGAAAGUUGAAGAGAGAUGAUAUUAAAUACAAUUCACCAAGGGUGAUAAAGAGAUUACCUUCAUAUGGAACUGAAGCGCUUCAGUGACAUAAGUAAUACUGCAUUGUACUCAUUACUACAGUCUAGUAUGAUGGCACUUCCCCAUUCCAGAGAGUCUUAAGGUUUUUUUCUUCCAACUUAAUUUGAUAUCAUUUGUUUAUGUGAGUAAUUGAGCUUUAUCCAGACUUUGCAGGGAAUCCCAUUUGGUAUUCAUAGAAACAAUAAAAA